UGUAUCGUACAACAUCUAUUUCUGUAUCUGUUUAUUUUAACACACAUUGUUGCGAUUUGCGACUUGUAAUCACAAAUAAUGGUUUCUCAUCGAUAUUGUUUUUGAUGCAACGUUAGAUGGUGUAUAAAAACCUUGAAUGUUUGCUUGCCUAAAAACUUGCUGGCUAUCUUGCCUAUUCAGCUAGUUAGCUUGCUACCGGAAAAGUAAUGUGCUCUUUCAACUAAAGCACACUUUAUUUCGGGUGUGAAGAAUUUACUAUGCGUUAUUCACGAGACUUAAAUAAAUGUGAACAUGUAUAUAUCUAACUAGCUCAAUGACCAUCUACCGGUAGUUAACAUGGCUAACGUCAACUUUCUAGCAAAGGAAGCAUUGCUAACGUUAGCUGCCUUGCCUCAAGCAAACACUGAAUUAAGUUGCCAGGAAUUUGACUAGAAACACGAAGGGUACAUCGUCCUUCGGAAAGCGGCGUAAUAAGACGCACGCUUUGUGCCGUCGCUGUGGCUCCAAGGCUUACCACCUUCAGAAGUCGUCCUGCGGGAAGUGUGGGUAUCCCGAGAAACGCAAGAGAAGGUACAACUGGAGCGCUAAGGCCAAGAGGAGGAACACCACUGGGUCUGGCCGCCUGAGACACCUGCGAGUCGUCUACCGCAGAUUCAGGAAUGGGUUCCGGGAAGGGACCACCCCAAAGCCUAAGCGUGCUGCAGUGGCUGCCUCCAGCUCGUCCUAGACGCACUUUGGAUUUACUUGUUUAAAUAAAUGUGCUGUUG